GUACGACUCUCGGUAACAGAUAUCUCAGCCCCGACAAUGAUGAAGAACGUAGCGAAGUGCAAUACUUGGUAUGAAUUGCAGAAUCUCGUGAAUCAUUAAAUCUUUGAAUACAAGUUGUGCCUAAGGCCUUAGCCUAGGGCAUGGCUGCCUGGGCAUCGCAU
rnacentral:rRNA from 1 species